rnacentral:rRNA from 1 species
UGCCCUAGUAACGGCGAGUGAAGCGGCAACAGCUCAAAUUUGAAAUCUGGCCCCAGGCCCGAGUUGUAAUUUGCAGAGGAUGCUUUUGGCAAAGCGCUUACCGAGUCCCCUGGAACGGGGCGCCACAGAGGGUGAGAGCCCCGUAUGGUAUGACGCCUAGCCUCUGUAAAGCUCCUUCGACGAGUCGAGUAGUUUGGGAAUGCUGCUCUAAAUGGGAGGUAAAUUUCUUCUAAAGCUAAAUACCGGCCAGAGACCGAUAGCGCACAAGUAGAGUGAUCGAAAGAUGAAAAGCACUUUGAAAAGAGGGUUAAAUAGCACGUGAAAUUGUUGAAAGGGAAGCGCUCGUGACCAGACUUGCGCCGGGCGGAUCAUCCAGCGUUCUCGCUGGUGCACUCCGCCCGGCUCAGGCCAGCAUCGGUUUUCGCCGGGGGACAAAAGCUUCGGGAACGUGGCUCCCCUCGGGGAGUGUUAUAGCCCGUUGUUUAAUACCCCGGCGGGGACCGAGGACCGCCCGUUUGCAACAAGGAUGGGGUAAUGGUCAUCAGCGACCCGUCUUUAAACCACGGACCGAGGAGUCAAGCAUUAGUGCGAGUGUUUGGGUGUAAAACCCGCACGCGUAAUGAAAGUGAACGUAGGUGAGAGCUUCGGCGCAUCAUCGACCGAUCCUGAUGUUUUCGGAUGGAUUUGAGUAGGAGCAUUAACGCUUGGACCCGAAAGAUGGUGAACUAUACUUGAAUAGGGUGAAGCCA